ACACCUGCAACGGAUGAUGGCUGGAAUGAGAGCGAAGUCGUAGAGAUUACAUCACAUUUACAAGAUGGCAGAUUGGUUGAACUUAGCAAAUCCUUUCUCAUAAAGAUAAAAAACUGUUCCGACCUAACGAGCAUGGGUGGUUUCGGUACAAUCUAUACUUCUCGCGUUCCUAUUCCUGGAUUCAAACACAGACUUGUCCUUAAGGCAAUUGGAGGUGAUGAUGAGAACUCAAAAUCUCAGACUCAACUUUUAGGUUCCGUUAAAAAUGAGAAGCUUGCAUCACGCGUGAGACAUUUUGCUAUCGUUCCACUACUGGCAUACCACGAUGAUCUUUCGUUAGGGUAAGAUUAUGCAAUCGAAACGGAAAAACUUUGUUCAAAGAUGAGAACUACACUCAAUCGCACUUCUA